rfam:Schistosoma haematobium scaffold509_26, whole genome shotgun sequence.
AUUCAGCUGACGAGUCCCAAGUAAAACAAAAUGCUCGUCCUGGAU